UCCUACGGGAGGCAGCAGUGGGGAAUUUUGGACAAUGGGGGGAACCCUGAUCCAGCCAUGCCGCGUGUCUGAAGAAGGCCUUCGGGUUGUAAAGGACUUUUGUCUGGGAGGAAAUCCCUAGCGUUAAUAGCGUUGGGGGAUGACAGUACCGGAAGAAUAAGCACCGGCUAACUACGUGCCAGCAGCCGCGGUAAUACGUAGGGUGCAAGCGUUAAUCGGAAUUACUUGGCGUAAAGGGUGCGCAGGCGGUGACACAAGCCAGAUGUGAAAUCCCCGAGCUUAACUUGGGAACGGCGUUCGGAACUGUGUCGCUAGAGUAUGUCAGAGGGGGGUAGAAUUCCUGGUGUAGCAGUGAAAUGCGUAGAUAUCAGGAGGAAUACCGAUGGCGAAGGCAGCCCCCUGGGAUAAUACUGACGCUCAUGCACGAAAGCGUGGGGAGCAAACAGGAUUAGAUACCCUGGUAGUCCACGCCCUAAACGGUGACAACUAGCCGUUGGGAAUGAAGAUUCUUAGUGGCGUAGCUAACGCGAGAAGUUGUCCGCCUGGGGGAGUACGGUCGCAAGAUUAAAACUCAAAGGAAUUGACGGGGA
rnacentral:rRNA from 1 species